UACAGAGGUCUCAAGCGUUGUUCGGAUUCAUUGGGCGUAAAGGGCGCGUAGGCGGCCGAUCAAGUCGGAGGUGAAAUCCCUCGGCUCAACUGAGGAAUUGCCUUCGAUACUGUUCGGCUUGAGUCCUGGAGAGGGUAGCGGAAUUCCCGGUGUAGCGGUGAAAUGCGUAGAGACCGGGAAAAACACCAGUGGCGAAGGCGGCUACCUGGACAGGUACUGACGCUGAAGCGCGAAAGCUAGGGGAGCAAACAGG
rnacentral:rRNA from 1 species